UGAGGAAUAUUGGACAAUGGGCGAAAGCCUGAUCCAGCGAUCCCGCGUGGAGGAUGACGCAUUAUGGUGUGUAAACUCCUUUUUUGAAGGAAGACGAAUGACGGUACUUCAAGAAUAAGUGACGGCUAACUAUGUGCCAGCAGCCGCGGUAAUACAUAGGUCACAAGCGUUAUCCGGAGUUACUGGGCGUAAAGCGUUCGUAGCCGGUAUAGUAAGUCUGUCUUCAAAUUCUCCGACUUAAUCGGAGGCAGGGGAUGGAUACUGCUAUGCUAGAGGUAUUGGGAGGUUAGUGGAAUUUCCGGUGUAGAGGUGAAAUUCGUUGAUAUCGGAAAGAACGCCAAAAGCGAAAGCAGCUAACUAUCAAUAUCCUGACGGUAAUGAACGAAAGCUUGGGUAGCAA
rnacentral:rRNA from 1 species